GGGGAUCCACUCUCUUUUCAAGCCCCACCUGGGGCCUUGGUUACCAGACUAUUUCAGAGUCAGAGGGAAGCAGAAGAGAAUGCAGUACCAGUGAAAUUCAACAGCUGUUGGGGCUUCCCAGUCCUGGGCUGGAGACUGGACUUACAGGAUGGAUCAGGAGGAAAGAGUAUUUACCUGGAAAUGUUAUCUGGUGAGCAUGCUGAUAUGCUCGUCUCCAUACUGUCAG